GAUGAACGCUGGCGGCGUGCCUAAUACAUGCAAGUCGAGCGAACAGAUGAGGAGCUUGCUCCUCAGACGUUAGCGGCGGACGGGUGAGUAACACGUGGAUAACCUACCUAUAAGACUGGGAUAACUUCGGGAAACCGGAGCUAAUACCGGAUAAUAUAUUGAACCGCAUGGUUCAAUAGUGAAAGACGGUUUUGCUGUUACUUAUAGAUGGAUCCGCGCCGCAUUAGCUAGUUGGUAAGGUAACGGCUUACCAAGGCAACGAUGCGUAGCCGACCUGAGAGAGUGAUCGGCCACACUGGAACUGAGACACGGUCCAGACUCCUACGGGAGGCAGCAGUAGGGAAUCUUCCGCAAUGGGCGAAAGCCUGACGGAGCAACGCCGCGUGAGUGAUGAAGGUCUUCGGAUCGUAAAACUCUGUUAUUAGGGAAGAACAAAUGUGUAAGUAACUAUGCACGUCUUGACGGUACCUAAUCAGAAAGCCACGGCUAACUACGUG
rnacentral:rRNA from 1 species